AUGCUUACCUGGAUGGGGUCAAUGAGCAAUCAAGAAGGUCUAUGGUCUAUGUUGGCAACUUCCGUUGCACUUGGGAAAGGCGUUUGCCUAUGGUCGACCCAAGUGGUCGAGCCUACGUCGUAAUUUGUGGUAGUGGGGGCAUGUGCUCGCACGGCCCUUG